UGCUGUGGGGGGAGGGGGUUGUUCAAGGGAUGGGGACGAUCAGGGUCUCUGGGAAGUGCUGACGUGUGCGCGUGUGCGGUGUGUUGCUUGUGGGUGCGUGUGUGGUGUGUGCAUGUGUGUGCGCGCGCGUGUGUGCGGGGUGUGCCGUGAGCGUGUGCCCGCGGUUCGGGGGAUGAGUAGGGGCGCUGACUUUUAGGACCAGCCAUUUGAGUCAAGCUGGAGACGACGUCUUAGAACCUAGGAUGAGUCUCGUUUGGUUUUAGUCUGCAAAGCUCGUCUGCAUCAGACAGGAAUUUUCCCCAGACGCGGGUGCACGUGAAUUAAUUCAUCAGAAGGCGGUUCACGGCCUGAGUGAGGGGGACGAGGGCGGCGAAUUCCUCCGCCUCAUUCCUACCCUGACGAUUCGAGCCUUAGCAAGUUCUGGCCUGUGGAGCCGUCAUCCAGAGCGCACAGCUUCAUGCCCUUGAAGGGCGCAGUGUGUCCCGUGGUGCCCGGUGGGCCCGGACAGAGACCCCAGAGGCUCUGUCUGAAGGAAGCUGCACCCACAGACUCCAUCCAGGCAGCGCGGGCGCGGUCCUGUCGCCUACCUUUCUCGGAAGCCAUCUGCCCAUGUGAAUCUAUGUGAAGGCCCUUCAUGCGCUCCUGGACAUCUGCGUGGGAUUUACUUCAACUGCUAUCGCUGCGAGGAGGACGAGCAUGUUUCACUGUAUUUUUAGCAGAGAGUGCAGAUUUUAGAACCUCGCGAACGGUCCUGUAUCUCCUGCACGAUGACUCUCCAGAACAGGAAUAGUGACCCUUCCUUUGCAUUUAUGGUGCAUAGGUUUUCAAAGGACAGUGUGUAAAUCAGCUUGUGUAAUAAUUGUGGCACCCACGCGCGCAAGCAGACUUACCAUGAGCUGACUUCCACUGAUUAUUUCAGUUUCCAGGGAAACGAGGUUUGCAGCCCCCUCCAGUGAGGGCGGAGCGGCCUCUCCAUUCCCAAUGCAGCAAGGCUGCUGCAGCCACGAUGAUUAGGCUUUGGAGGAGGAAGUGAACGGAUGGGGCCUCAUCCUCCUGCCUCCCUAAAGGGUGAGGGUGGAAGGAUGGGGCUGUGCCCUCUUAGGGCAGGGAAAAACAGCUUGGAGGGGUUUCUGCCAUCAGAGAUCCCAUAGGAGGCAGGUCAGUCCUGCAGAAUUUCUCCCCAGUCUGGCCUCCAGCCUCCCUGGCCCCUUUCUAGAGGCCUCCAUCCCACUGGCGGCUUGCUCCUGCCACCGGGCCUCUGCACAGUCACCUCCUGCAGCCUGGGGUGUGUCGCCUCUCCACGUCCUCACCGGCGUCUGCCUUUGCAUUUCCCAGAUGCUCGCUUCACCCCACUGAGAUGUAACUCAGUUUUGUGGGAUCCCACUGCCCUCCAGGUGCCGCUCCGAGUGCUCUACACAGAUUUUCAUUCAGUCCUUGCGGCACACGAAGGGAUGGCCUCUGCACUUCAGCUGGUUUCUGACACCUAAAAACAGAAGUGGAAAAGGGAGCAGACGCAGCCACAUUUUGAAAGCUGAUUCGGUUGCUUUCUGGCAGAAUCCCUGCCCCCAAGCACCUGCCAGGCCCACCCAUGAAGCCUCUUCCCACGCCUUAACUCUGCCCCAUGAGGGGACCUCAAGCAGUUGCAGUCUAGUCAGGUGAUUUGCAGAGCUCAGGGCUCAGGGAGGGGCACCCACCUCAGAAAAAAGCGCCGUGCUCAUGAGAAAUGACUUCUACAGGUUGUUGGGGAAAGAGGAGUUAUUUUAAAGAUCACAGAGCCCGUGAUGUGCCAGGCGCACCCACACAGGGCAUAUAGUCCCCGCAGCUGCCUCUGUGCUGGGGCCACGUCACCGUCCUGUCCUAAAGACAAGCAAUGUGAAGCCCAGAGAUGGUAUCUUAAAACAAUCGUGUGGUUUUUUUCUGAUUACAACAGCAAUUGUGUUAAUCCAACAAUAUUUUUCCUAUCAACUGUAAACCUUAUUUUAAUAUUUACAUAUUUAUUAGCAUUUAAAAUUCAAUCUCCUAGAAUAUUGACUUCAAUUAGUUUGGCUGAUUCUAAUUUUUUUUUUCUAAUUUGUUUAUCACUUAACUUUUUAAGUACUUUUUUUUUUUAGACAGAGUCUUGCUCUGUCACCCAGGCUGGAGUGCAGUGGUGCAAUCUCGGCUCACUGCAACCUCUGCCUCCUGGGCUCAAGCGAUUCUCCUGCCUCAACCUCCCGAGUAGCUGGGACUACAGGCUCACACCACCAUGCCCAGCUAAUUUUUAUAUUUUUAGUAGAGAUGGGGUUUCACCAUGUUGUCCAGGCUGGUCUCGAACUCCUGACCUCAAGUGAUCCCCCACCUCAGCCUCCCAAAGUGCUGGGAUUACAGGUGUGAGCCACCGUGCCUGGCCUGUUUUUAGUACUUUUAUCCUUUAUCUUUUUAACUACGUAAGUACUCAACAUUUUAAAUUAUUAAUCUUCACCAUGUUAUUUCCAAGAACAAUCACGAUUGAUCUUUCAGUUACACAGCCACGGUGUGUGCCUCUCUGUGUAACUCUGCACAGCUGGUGAUUUACUGAAAGAACUUACUCUCAUAAAACCACAGCCAGCGAGUUCUCAGAGACACAAUAAUGCACCUUAAUUAUGAGUUUAAAAGCUCUUGUCUUGUGAAAUGUAAUCGAUCCACAGAAAAAUCAUAAAGUAUACAUGUAAUAGCUUAAUGACUUAUAAAUGAAGAUCUGUAUACUUCCCACUCGAAAAACGGAAUAUUGCAGGAUUUGAGUACACAACCCGUACCUUUCCAACGACAGCCUCCCUCCCACCAGAGCUUCUGCUGAGUUCACUUGAAAUCACUUCCUUGCAUUUAUUUAUACUUUUAUUACCUUGAGGUGCAUCCCUAACCAUUCUAGUUCGAUUUUGCCUGGUGUUUGAACUUUAUAUUAAUGGAAUCAUAGGACAUAAUUCUUAUAUCUCUGGUUUCUUUCAUUCAACUUUGUGUCUGCGAAAUGUAUCCAUGUUGCAUGCAACGGGGGCUCAUUCAUCGCUGGUUACUGAUUCACUGCAUGAGUAUGACACAGUUUAUUAACCAUUUCACUGCUGAUGAACAUUUGAUCAUUUCUAGUUUGGGAAUAUUAUUAAUAAUUUUUGAACCUUCUUAUUUGUGUGCCCUGAUGUACAUGGACAUGCAUUUUAGGGGUGUAUACUUAGGGAAAUUGCCGGUUCAUGAGUAACACCUAUCUUCAGGUAUUACUUUUUGUGCCCUUUUAUGCUGAACUACAAUUUACGUGCAAUACCAAUCAUUCAUAUUAAGUGUACAACUCAGUGAGUUUAGACAACUGGACACCUUGUUGUGAGUCACCACCACCGAGAUGAUCCAGCACUGUCCCAACUCCCCCCAAGUUCUCCUUUGCAGGCACCCUCUCCCUCCAUUCUGGGCACAGGCAACCAUGAACCACUAUCUGUCACCGUAGCUUUAGUAUAAAAUUUCACAUACAUGGACUCAGGGAGCAUAGAGUCUUUCCUGUCUGGCUUCUUUCCGCUGGCAAAAUGCUUGGAGACUUUUCCACGUUGCUGCAUGAAUCAAUGGAUCAUUUGUUUUCGUGGCUGAGCAGAAUUCCACCAACAUUUGUUUACUCAUCCAUGAAAUGAUGGACAUUUGGUGUUUUUCCAUUGAGAUUGUUAUGAAUAAUGCUGCUAUUGUCAUUCAAGGACAAGUCUUCUGUGAACAUCUGUUUUCACUUCUCUUGGGUACAUCCUUAGAAGUGGUAUUGCUGGACUGUAUCAAAAGUUAAUAUUUAACUUUCAGGAAACUUACAAACUGUUUUCCAGAGUGGCUGUACCAUUUUGCAUUCCCAGACCGAAGUGUGAAAGCUCCAGAUGCCCCACGCCCUCACCAGCCCACGGUGUUGUCAGCCUUAAUAGUGCUGACCAUUCUGCCUGUUAAUAUGAUGAAUUACACUGAUUCAGUUUCAAAUGUCCAACCAAGCUUGCACUCCAGAGAUGAAGCCCACUUGAUCACAUGGAUUAUUCUUUUAAUAUAUGAUGGAUACGACUUGGCUGUUCUUUUGUUGAGGAUUUUUGUGUUUAUGUUAAUGAGGAUAUUAUUUGUAGUUUUCUUUUCUUGUAAUGUUUUUGUCUUUGUUCAGUGUCAGAGUAAUGCCAACUUCAUAAAGUGAGCUGGGAAGUA
rnacentral:lncRNA from 1 species